rnacentral:rRNA from 1 species
GACGUAGGAGGCGAGCGUUGUCCGGAGUUACUGGGCGUAAAGCGCGCGCAGGCGGCCCUGUGCGCUGCCGGUGAAAGCUCCCGGCUUACCUGGGAGAGGUUCGGCAGGACGGCAGGGCUGGAGGGUGGGAGAGGCGCGUGGAAUUGCAGGUGUAGCGGUGAAAUGCGUAGAUAUCUGCAGGAACACCCGUGGCGAAAGCGGCGCGCUGGACCACUACUGACGCUGAGGAACGAAAGCUAGGGGAGCAAACAGG